rnacentral:rRNA from 1 species
GACGAACGCUGGCGGCGUGCCUAAUACAUGCAAGUCGAGCGGAGUUUUUAAAAGCUUGCUUUUAAAAACUCAGCGGCGGACGGGUGAGUAACACGUGGGCAACCUGCCCUGUAGACUGGGAUAACUUCGGGAAACCGAAGCUAAUACCGGAUAAUCAUAGAAGUUGCAUAGCUUCUAUGUAAAAGUUGGGUUUACCUAACACUACAGGAUGGGCCCGCGUCGCAUUAGCUAGUUGGUAAGGUAACGGCUUACCAAGGCGACGAUGCGUAGCCGACCUGAGAGGGUGAUCGGCCACACUGGGACUGAGACACGGCCCAGACUCCUACGGGAGGCAGCAGUAGGGAAUCUUCCGCAAUGGACGAAAGUCUGACGGAGCAACGCCGCGUGAGCGAUGAAGGCCUUCGUGUCGUAAAGCUCUGUUGUUAGGGAAGAACAAGUGCUAUUUCGAAUAGGGUGGCACCCUGACGGUACCUAAACGAGAAGCCCCGG